GUCUGGAGUCUGCUGAGUACGAUUCUUACCCCGCCGUUCUGUAGGCCAUCCCUGGUGGUUUCAAAGCACUUACUGUGAGUGCUUGUCAUUUUUGUCAUUUUUGCACGCGUCACUGUGUCUCCCGUAGGACUUUGCAUGCUGUGAACACUCUCUGAGACUAAAAGUGAGCUAGCUCUCUUGUUCCUUGGUCUUUAGGAAGGUGCUUCAACUCUGGAUCUUCACACGGAGCCCGGCUUUCCCAGUGUGCUUUCCCAGUCGUCCUGGGCCGACACGGGAGUUCCGCUUCCUGCCAAAAACCUGAUGUUCAAAGACGGCCUCUUGUCAGAGUGGAGUGGACGCUCGCCUUCCUCCUUUCUCCUUGCGAAUCUCCACCUGCAGGGAUCCCAGGAGGAGAUGGAACUCUUCCUCCGACAGGUAGUCCCGCUGGAAAGUGGCAAGUGUCCAGCAGUGAGAGCGUUACCAGUGAACUGUUAGGACAGUUGACUUUGGUUUCCAAGCAAGGAUUGUGGUUGGGAGCUGCCCAGUCGCAGCGUCAGGGCGGUCUUUGGACUCAGCUCCAUGGUAAGGCAAUUGACUGUGCAUACACAGCACCUGGACAAAGCCUGGCACACAGCCCUGAGGGGCAGUGGGAAAGCACUGGCUGGCCUCACGCGCUGCUUCGGGAGGUCGUUCUUUCUCGUCUCAGAUGUCAGGCUUUGUGGAACCACACAGAGGCAUUUCAGGUCACCUCCCUUGGGGGAUUGUGCAGGGUUAGAUUAGCUCCCCUUAGAGGGCAAUGGCUUGCUAGUGUGAAACUAACCGAGCUAACAGGUCUGGCUUCAGGCUGUUUGACAGUGGUUGAGCCUAACAGUUUUGCUGAUGGCCUUUGUUAUUUAUGCAGCUGAUAUUUGUGUAUUUAACAAACUUCUGGAAGUAUAUGCCUUUCUUGGAACCAUUCUAGUGGCCAUGCAUUUAAUACCCAUGGCCUAUCUGUAGAACUGAGGAUUUUGGACCAGGUUACUUGUAACACAGUUAGUGCUGUGUUUGGGGUAAAUGCAGUAAUGUUUAGUUUUGUACUUUGUCUUGUAUAAGGUGUGUAUGUCAGGUUUGUCUGUAAAGGAAAAGUACGUAGUAACAUUAAACGAUCUCUAUGACUGUGAAACACUCAUUAGUGCAUUCCCAGGGCUGCUGGCUGUGUGUAUGUUUAACUUUACAGCUCCCACUGAAAGUUGUAUUUCAUUUGAUCAGGGCUCUUUAAUCUCACUUUAUUUUGCUUUGUUUGAGUUAACUGUGGUAUUUAUCCUUGUAUUAGCAGUUGAGCACCAACUCUAACGACAUGUACACUAAUAAAGAAUUGAACAGUUGUAGUUACAACAGUGAGUCCAGUUAUUGCUGACUUUAUAGCUUAAAAUAUGGGAGUGAUUUGCUGCUAUAAUUCCUUUGCAAAACACUGAAGGAAGAGAUGGAACCUAACCACGAUGGUGAACUUCAGGGACACGUUUCAUCUCUGGUUUCUUGUGUGAGUGGGGAGUGGGGCCGCCAGACGCCCAGCGAAUGUGCCCGGUCUUAGGAGGACCGUCUGCAUCAGAGAAGGUGAUGUGGGUGUUUGUGCUUUGCUUUAUGAAUGUGGCCUGUUCCACUCAUGUGAGCUCAUGCAGAGAUGCCUCUGUUAAGUCGCUUAGAAAUAAACAAACAAACAAACAUAGACUUUGUUCUUUGCCAAAGAGAAUUGAUAGAAGUCGUAUCCAGUUCCUUUGCAAAUGUUUGGUUCCGUUUGGCUGUGCACUGUCCUCAUUCCUUCCCCCGCACCCUUACUGUAGCUUGACCCAUUGUGAGCAAACAUUUAGACACCAGGGAAACAAGAGCUAUUAACAUCAGAAAGGGCACACAGGUUAGUAGGGGUCGAGCUUCACCUCACAGAUGCACCUAAAGCAGCAUACCUUAGUCAGUCAAGAAGUUAGGGUUGUUUGGUUCUUAGAGCAGAGGUUCUCAACCUGGAGGGGUCAAAUGAGCCCUUUCAGAGGCCGCAUAUCAGAUAUCCUGCAUAUCAGAUAGUUACGUUGUAAUUCAUAACAGCAACAUUACGGUUCUGAAGUAGCAACGAAAAUGAUUUUAUGGUUGUGGGUGACCAGCAUGAGGAACUACAGUAGCCGGCCGCAGCGUUAGGAAGGGUGAGAACCACUGCUCUGGGGCCUUUCUUGUUUCAAAUACGUAACCAGAUGCUUCUGUAUUUGUUUGAGGGAAGUU
ensembl:lincRNA